rnacentral:antisense_RNA from 1 species
UGUGGGAGCUGGCUUGCCUGCGAUGGCGGUGUGUCAGUCGAUAUCUGCCUUGACUGAAUGAACGUUAUCGCAGGCAAGCCAGCUCCCACA